rnacentral:lncRNA from 1 species
AACAAAGGGUCGGUGAUUCAAGAUGGCCGGAGUGGCAGCAAUCCACGAUCGCGAUUUUUUCGUUCGGAUUUCGUCGCGAAAACUCCGGAAUUUUUAUUUGAAACGGUGAAAAGUAGUGUUUUUAUAUCUUACGAAUGUAAUAGUUGUUCGUAAUCGAUGCAAUUGUAGUAUGGUGAAAUCAAAAUGUGAAAAAAAUCCAAGCGGAACAAAUCCUCCCGCAAAUUUGCAAUGUUUCGAAGUGUCCGCCAAAGAAGAUUCCUAUACGAUAGGUGCUUGGGAUGAACAUCGUCGACCAGCGAUUCCUAAUGCCAAUGGUCGGAAUCCGGAAAGAGGAUCGCCGAAGCAAUCGUUCACAACAAUAGAAGUUCGUUCCCGGUGGUCUCCCUAUUGAUGUUUGGAAAGAGGAUCCGUUUUUCCUCCGGAUUAGCCAAUAGAACCACAACUCCUGCAUCCACCAACCUACACGGCACGUAAACAAUGUACCAGGUCAGCCGCAAGGUACACUGCAACGGAGUGGAGCAUAAAACGCGGGACAGCUCGAUUUAUUAUUGGAUCGGCGACUACGGUGAAACGGGUCGAGCUCUGUGAACUAUUCUACUGGUUGCGAAGGGAACCUUAACACAUCCGUGAUUGCCUUCAGAAUAAAUAAAAAUAUGUAAUUAAUAAAUGCUUUAUUUAUAAUGCAAUAAAAAAGUAAUUGAUGAUUGA